AUGCGCACCCUGGCGGCGGAGCGGCCCAAGCGCUGGCUGAGGGGCCCGCCACCCAGGGCGCGCCGCCCCCGACCCCUGCCGCUCCCACUCCCCGCCGGCAGGGGACGGGAUUUCUCUCUGGGACAGCUGGCCCGCGUUUUGGGAUCCAGUAGGCUCGAAGUGGCCUCAGACGAAUAUUUAGAAGAUGUUUCAAAGAAGGUGAAAAGUGGGCUAAUGUUUGUAAAACUGGUUAACUGGUGUUCAGGAGACGGAGCCAUUUAGUUGUUCGCUAUGUGUCUACAGCAGCUGUUUGAAGUAAAAGUUUUCAACCAUUCUUGGUUUAUAAAUCAAUCAGUUCAAUCAAGAGGCCGUCUCCACUUUGCCACACCUGUGGAUCCUCUAGUUCUGCUGCUCCACUACCUCAUAAAGGCUGAUGAGGAGGGGAAGUUUCAGCCCCUCGCUAUCAAGUUGUGGUGGAUAACGUGUUUGCAAAUUGCAUCUUGUUGCUGAAACUUCCUGAACUUGAGAAGUUACUUCACCGUGUGACAGAGGAAAAAGAAAUAGACAACAAGAACUAUUACAAGUACAGUGAAAAGAAGACAUUAAAGUGGCUGGAAGAAAAGGUUAAACUACGGCAGCAUUAAAAACCAGUAAUGUGAAUGUCAUUUCCCGGGUACAGUCAGCUGCAUUUUUCUCUGGUGACCAAGUUUCCGCUGACAAGGAAGAGGAUUAUAUUUUUUAUGCCCAUGGCCUGAUAUCUGAUUACAUCCCUAAAGAAUUAAGUAAUGACUUAUCUAAAUACUUAAAGCUUCCAGAACCUUCAGCCUCAUUGCCAAAUCCUCCAUCAAAGCAAAUAAGGUUAUCAGAUGAGCCUGUAGAAGCAAAAGAAGAUUACACUAAGUUUAAUACUAAGGAUUUGAAGACUGAAAAGAAAAAUAGCAAAAUGACUGCAGCUCAGAAGGCUUUGGCUAAAGCUGACAAGAGUGGAAUGAAAAGUAUUGAUACCUUUUUUUGGUGUAAAAAAUUAAAAAUGGGAAACGUUUGAA